UAUUUGUAAAUAUUUCAACAUGUAAAAGAUGAACUUCCCUCAAAAAACAUAAAUCCAAUAGCAGCAUCACAUUUAACAUUAGUUUUUAAAUAUUAUAUCUGGUGAGUCUUAAAUUUUCUUUAGUAAGUCAGAAAUGUUAUUUUAUAGUUCAUUGAAAUUGGGGUCUAAAUAAAAUCCAUAAUUUGUAAUUGGUUGAUCCAUCCUUUACACAUUUUUAAAAAAUGUAGAUUGACUAUCACUUUCCCCUUGUGACACUUAUAGAGGAAAGAGGGCUGUUGAUAGGCCAGUUUGCAGACCUCGCAUUGGACAUCUGAAAAGAAGAGUAUGCCCCUGUGUAAAGUCACUAUGUCACCGAGAGCAUUCUUCAGCCCAGCCAAGAGAAUGUUAUGUUCUUGUGCAACUGAGGUGUUCUCAGUGGUAAGACUUUCUCAGGGUAGAAAGGUGGCUCUCUUCCAGCCCAGGUUCCCCAUCUGAGUGUAGGAUGGUAGAAUCUAGUUUGUGGGCCCCCGCUAUGGUGUGGGCUUAUUGUGUUUGCUGUGAAUCCUGCAGUUGUUUUGUCAAUCACACUUGAUAAGUGUGUUGUGCUCUUUUGCCAGGAAGCACAUUUGCAAUGCAAGAGUUUCUUUCUGUGACUUUGGUUGUUAGUGGUCAUCUCCUAGAACUGCUGAUUUAUUUGGGUGACAGAAUGGCAAUGUUCUUACUCUGACACUCUCUGUUUAUUAAUGCUAUAAAGCUUGGAAAGUGGUUUUGAAUAUGGACCCAAGGUUCAUAGCCAGCCAAGUUUGCUUUUUCUGAUCCAUGGCUUUAAGGAGUAUAGAAAAAAAGAAAUCACAAAACAUGGAACAGCAAAGAUUGGCUAUCAUGAGGUUGGCGAUUGUGGGCAGUUUCUAAUGAGUGAGCCUGGUACUUGAGGGGCAAAUGAAAGAAGAUAACUCUGUAGGGGUCUAUUCCAUAGCUGGAAUCCCUAGGUUCCUUGAUCUAGUGUGGCUGUCAAAGUGGAAACAAUAUUUUAUUUUCUUUUAAAAUUAAUUAAUUUUGUGAAAGCAUUUUAACAUGUAGUUCUGGGCGAUCUGAGUCAUCUGGGUGCACCAUAUAGCCCAGGUUGUGCUCAAACUGCUGUCUCUGUCUCUUGACUGCUGGGAUUACAGGUGUGUUCCACCAUCGCUAGUUUAUUAUUAUUUAAGAGGAGGGAUUUCAUGCAAGGACACUACAAAGCUUUGGCAACUUUUUCACUAUAGUUGGAAAGAAGAGGUUUUUAAAAUCCACUCAGUGUCCAGAAGGAAAUGUUUAUACCCUCAUUUUGGCAUUUCUGCCUCGGGACUGCUCAUUUUAUCUCAUGCCUGAGUAUAACUGGUGAUUUGAACAGAGAUGGGGAACUCCACUGAAACAGCCAGCAUCUCUUAGGAAAGGACAUGGGAGUGGGAGCGACCCAGGAGCUUCCUUGAGUGUUGGUGAGGGGUUGGUGAGAAGGUGCGAGUGCAAGGUGCACUGUCAGGCUGAGUCUUGAGAAUGGACAUUAUUCCAGAAGGCCCAAGGUCUGUCAUCUUUUGAGAAAAUCUCCCAGGAAACACCCUGGCCCUGGCUCCUGUGGAGGCAAAUGCUGUAUCACUUGGGUGAGAGAAAGCUUUCAUGUUGGAUUUUAGGGGAGAACUAUGAUGCCGGGAAGGGGUAGGGACUCUGAUUUCUCAUGAAAUGGGUCACCCUAACUUCAUGUGACCCAUUGUCUCCUAAGCAAGGGUAGAUAGUUGCCAUGUCACUGAACGGUGCACCUGUAGCUACUUUUCUAAAAACAAGCCAAACUCAGUGCUCAUGUGGAUGUCCAGUGUGCAUUUUGGAACCAGCUGAGAGCAGGGUUCAAAUCAUUGUCCUUCCUACCCAACCAGACAUUUCUUGCAAAUCCCUCAAACUCUUAUUUGAGAAAUGGCUAACAUUUUUAUCAUGGGAGCUAGCCCCAGUACUCAUGCCACAGGAAAUGUGUUUAUAACAGAAACAUGGCUCUAUUCCCUUCACAUACACCCACAAUAUACUUUGUAUAAUCGAUCUUAAAAGCGGUGGUUUUAUUUUGUAGACCCAGAAAACAAACAGCAACAACAACAAGAAGCAAGGCACCAAACUAUACAAAUUAGUAAAAAGCAGGACACAUCUUCUUUGGGCUAUUAUAGAAACAUCUUUCUAAGCUCUGCUCCAGAACUCUGUAACCUGGGAGUAUUUUAUUCAUAGAUUCCUUUGCUCUUUAUUUGAUGACUUCAGACAGGUCUCCAUAGAGUAGCCUUUUUAAAAAAGUUAUGUGCUUAAUUUGGUUUUCUAUAAUCUUCUGCAAAUGAGCAGAGCAAUGUGUUUUCCUGAUAGGGUUUUGGGGGAAAUCCUUCUGUAGGUUAUAAUGUUCUCCAAAUUUUGCUAAUUACUGUUUUUAUUUUGUAGUGUGAUAUGUUUAAUCAAUUCCCUUAAAAUGUGCACUACUUUCAUUGCUUUUUCACAUGUAUAUGUAAAUUAUUACAACUUUACUUUUAAUUGGGAGAGUAAAAAAAAAUCUGUCAAGUUUUAGACCAUAGCAGAAUCAAGUGUUAGUUUCAAUAAAAUAAUUGCAUUAAC
rnacentral:lncRNA from 1 species